rnacentral:rRNA from 1 species
CGACGGACUCAUAUUGAAACCUAGUGAAGUAUGAGUUAGUGGCGGACGGGUGAGUAACGCGUGGAAAACCUGCCGUAUACUGGGGGAUAACACUUAGAAAUAGGUGCUAAUACCGCAUAAGCGCACAGCUUCGCAUGAAGCAGUGUGAAAAACUGAGGUGGUAUACGAUGGUUCCGCGUCUGAUUAGCUAGUUGGUGGGGUAAAAGCCUACCAAGGCAACGAUCAGUAGCCGGCCUGAGAGGGUGAACGGCCACAUUGGGACUGAGACACGGCCCAAACUCCUACGGGAGGCAGCAGUGGGGAAUAUUGCACAAUGGGGGAAACCCUGAUGCAGCGACGCCGCGUGAGUGAAGAAGUAUUUCGGUAUGUAAAGCUCUAUCAGCAGGGAAGAAAUACUGACCAUAGGGUCAGCAGACGGUACUUGACUAAGAAGCCCCGGCUAACUACGUGCCAGCAGCCGCGGUAAUACGUAGGGGGCAAGCGUUAUCCGGAUUUACUGGGUGUAAAGGGAGCGUAGACGGCAGCGCAAGUCUGAAGUGAAAUGCCAGGGCUUAACCCUGGAACUGCUUUGGAAACUGUGCAGCUAGAGUGCAGGAGAGGUAAGUGGAAUUUCUAGUGUAGCGGUGAAAUGCGUAGAUAUUAGGAGGAACACCAGUGGCGAAGGCGGCUUACUGGACUGUAACUGACGUUGAGGCUCGAAAGCGUGGGGGGCAAACAGGAUUAGAUACCCUGGUAGUCCACGCUGUAAACGAUGAUUACUAG